rnacentral:rRNA from 1 species
UACGGAGGAUGCGAGCGUUAUCCGGAUUUAUUGGGUUUAAAGGGUGCGUAGGCGGGAUGCCGAGUCAGCGGUAAAAAUGCGGUGCUCAACGCCGUCGAGCCGUUGAAACUGGCGUUCUUGAGUGGGCGAGAAGUAUGCAGAAUGCGUGGUGUAGCGGUGAAAUGCAUAGAUAUCACGCAGAACUCCGAUUGCGAAGGCAGCAUACCGGCGCCCUACUGACGCUGAGGCACGAAAGCGUGGGUAUCGAACAGG